rfam:Chlorobium ferrooxidans DSM 13031 ctg33, whole genome shotgun sequence.
CGGGGUGUGGCUCAGUUGGUAGAGUGCUGCGUUCGGGACGCAGAGGUCGUGGGUUCGAAUCCCGCCACCCCGA